rnacentral:misc_RNA from 1 species
UGCACACAUACCCUCGUCUUACAAUCGACAUGUUCUGAUAAAAAACCUCAGCGACACAUUCUGAAAAUUACUCUAUGGGGAAAACGUGCACAAGAAUUUUCGUUGACCAACACUUAUGACCCACAGAAACAAACUCCUAUCGUGGUCUUAUUUGUUGGUUGUUUACCAAAAGAAUAUCAAGGGGAAGUACUGUUAAGUGGUGGCGCAACCUGUCAUUGGUACUUCAACCCAUCAAUUGAAGAAGCUGAAGCUUUUUAUAGCAGGAUUGAAUCUGAAAAGAUAAACAUAGAAUUGCCCAGUCUUGACAAACAAGAAAUUACACCUCCAAGUUUUCCACAACGAGAACAUCACAACCUUAAAUACAUACUGUCUUUAAACCCACAUGAUGUACCGGAUCAAGGAUAUGAAUGCACGGUAACCAUUACAUGUAUUCCUGAAGGCAAGACUUGGUAUUAUAUUGCUUGCAACACUUGCCCAAACAAACCAAGCACUGAUCCCGUCAUCCGUCAAUGCUCCACAUGUAGAUCAACAAAUUACUGCUUCAGAUACAAGCUCACUUUCAAGGCAUCAGAUGGAACUGAAGAAGCUGAAAUGUUUGCAUUCGACAAUGUUGCUAGGACAAUUAUUGGGAAACCAUGUCCAACAGUUGUUGCAUCCUUUCCUGAUGCAUCAGCUAU